ACAAUCUUCAUCAACAUGACCUUCAUCAUCAUCUUCAUCUGGACUCUCACAGCGUUUGCUCAAGAGUGUAGAGGACAGAUCAGCGUCACUCAGAGUCCCUCAACGACAGCAGCUCAACCAGGAGAAACAGUGAAGAUCAGCUGUAGAACCAGCACAGAUGUGUACAGUGGUGAUUGUUUAGCCUGGUACUUACAGAAACCUGGAGAAGCUCCUAAACUCCUGAUUUAUUAUGCAAGCAGCCGUCAGUCAGGAACUCCAUCUAGAUUCAGUGGCAGUGGAUCUAACAGUGAUUUCACUCUGACCAUCAGUGGAGUCCAGACUGAAGAUGCUGGACAUUAUUACUGUCUGGGUUUGUACUGGCCUGAGAGCAUUCAGUGGUUCACACAGUGAUUGUGAGUCGUACAAAAACCUGUGUCAGUCAGAGUCACAGUGACUGAACUGAUGCUGCAGCUGAUCAAAAGAGGAUCUGAAACAACAUCAUCACACAUGCAUCUGAAAUGAAAUCAAAUAAUAAAUAUGUCGCUCUUAACCCUCUGGCCCUCUUCGUUUAGGAGUCACACUUACCUUCUUAGUGGUCAAAAGUGACCGAAGCCUUGAAAUGUUACUUUUUUUUUUUCUUCAGUAAAAACCAAUGUGAUAUAUAUUUUUUUCAAUAAUAUUUUUUGAUUGUUAUUUAUGAUUUUUAGGGAAUUUUAUGAUA